GUGCUAACACAUGCAAGUCGAGCGAGCGGCGGACGGGUGAGUAACGCUUGGGAAUCUGCUGAAGUGGGGGACAACCCGGGGAAACUCGGGCUAAUACCGCAUAAGAUGAGCCCAAGUCGGAUUAGCUAGUUGGUAGGGUAACGGCCUACCAAGGCGACGAUCCGUAACUGGUCUGAGAGGACGACCAGUCACACCGGAACUGAGACACGGUCCGGACUCCUACGGGAGGCAGCAGUGGGGAAUAUUGGACAAUGGGCGAAAGCCUGAUCCAGCGACGCCGCGUGGGUGAAGAAGGCCUGCGGGUUGUAAAGCCCUUUCGGUGGGGAUGACGUAACCCAUAGAAGAAGCACCGGCUAACUCUGUGCCAGCAGCCGCGGUAAUACAGAGGGUGCGAGCGUUAAUCGGAAUUACUGGGCGUAAAGCGCGCGUAGGCGGCUUUGCAAGUCGGGUGUGAAAUCCCCAGGCUUAACCUGGGAACUGCAUUCGAGACUGCAUUGCUAGAGUAUGGGAGAGGGAAGUGGAAUUUCCGGUGUAGCGGUGAAAUGCGUAGAUAUCGGAAGGAACAUCAGUGGCGAAAGCGACUUCCUGGACCAAUACUGACGCUCAUGUGCGAAAGCGUGGGGAGCAAACAGGAUUAGAUACCCUGGUAGUCCACGCCAUAAACGAUGAGAACUGGAUGUCGGUGUCGUAGCUAACGCGUUAAGUCUC
rnacentral:rRNA from 1 species